rnacentral:rRNA from 1 species
CCUACGGGUGGCAGCAGUGAGGAAUAUUGGUCAAUGGACGAGAGUCUGAACCAGCCAAGUAGCGUGAAGGAUGACUGCCCUAUGGGUUGUAAACUUCUUUUAUAUGGGAAUAAAAUGUUCCACGUGUGGGAUUUUGUAUGUACCAUAUGAAUAAGGAUCGGCUAAGUACGUGCCAGCAGCCGCGGUAAUACGGAGGAUCCGAGCGUUAUCCGGAUUUAUUGGGUGUAAAGGGAGCGUAGGUGGAUUGUUAAGUCAGUUGUGAAAGUUUGCGGCUCAACCGUAAAAUUGCAGUUGAAACUGGCAGUCUUGAGUACAGUAGAGGUGUGCGGAAUUCGUGGUGUAGCGGUGAAAUGCUUAGAUAUCACGAAGAACUCCGAUUGCGAAGGCAGUUCACUGGACUGCAACUGACACUGAGGCUCGAAAGUGUGGGUAUCAAACAGGAUUAGAUACCCCAGUAGUC